rnacentral:rRNA from 1 species
AUUGAACGCUGGCGGCAUGCCUAACACAUGCAAGUCGAGCGGCAGCGCGGAGCUUUCUUCCCUUGAGCGCGGCGCACAGGUGAGUGUUGCCUAUGGAUAUACCUCCUGUAGUGGGAUAACGUCCGGCGACAGCCGCUAUUAUAGCAUACACGCUCUGCGAGAGAACGGGGGACCUUCGGGCCCUGCGCGCUCUGAUGUUCCUAGAGGGGGGAUUAGCUAGUUGGGGGGGUAAUGGCCCACCAAGGCGACGAUCAGUAUCUGGUCUGAGAGGACGAUCAGCCACACUGGAACUGAGACACGGUCCAGACUCCUACGGGAGGCAGCAGUGGGGAAUAUUGGACAAUGGGCGAAAGCCUGAUCCAGCCAUGCCGCGUGUGUGAAGAAGGUCUUCGGAUUGUAAAGCACUUUAAGUUGGGAGGAAGGGCAGUAAAUUAAUACUGUGCUGUGUUGACGGUACCGAAAGAAUAAGCACCGGCUAACUACGUG